GCCAGUAGCCAUAUCACCCUACAGUACAUCUCACAACUAGCAACCCACUGAAACUAAGUAGGUAUGAGCCUUGUCAGUAUCUGAAUGGAAGGCCUCCUGGGAAAAACUAAGGUUGCUGCUGGAA
rnacentral:rRNA from 1 species